GACGAACGCUGGCGGCGUGCCUAAUACAUGCAAGUAGAACGCUGAAGAGAGGAGCUUGCUCUUCUUGGAUGAGUUGCGAACGGGUGAGUAACGCGUAGGUAACCUGCCUGGUAGCGGGGGAUAACUAUUGGAAACGAUAGCUAAUACCGCAUAAAAUUGAUUAUUGCAUGAUAAUUAAUUGAAAGAUGCAAUUGCAUCACUACCAGAUGGACCUGCGUUGUAUUAGCUAGUUGGUGAGGUAACGGCUCACCAAGGCGACGAUACAUAGCCGACCUGAGAGGGUGAUCGGCCACACUGGGACUGAGACACGACCCAGACUCCUACGGGAGGCAGCAGUAGGGAAUCUUCGGCAAUGGGGGGAACCCUGACCGAGCAACGCCGCGUGAGUGAAGAAGGUUUUCGGAUCGUAAAGCUCUGUUGUAAGAGAAGAACGGGUGUGAGAGUGGAAGGUUCACACUGUGACGGUAUCUUACCAGAAAGGGACGGCUAACUACGUGC
rnacentral:rRNA from 1 species